CACCUGAGGGAUAGCUCAGUUGGUAGAGCAUGAGACUCUCAAGCCCAGGGUCGUGGGUUCAAGCCCCACAUUGGGUGA